rfam:Streptococcus pneumoniae SP6-BS73 ctg820, whole genome shotgun sequence.
AAAACCUUUAAAGCAGUCCAGAGAGGCAGCUAAGGUUAGACGGUGAAAGGGUGGAGACUACCCAUUUUUCGUGGAACCUUGCUGUUGGCAGGUUCCUUUUUUCGU